rnacentral:lncRNA from 1 species
UGCUUCCCUCAGUGGGUUAUGUGCACCACCUUUGUGCAGGACAAAUUUGGCUAACAUUAAAUCCGGCAAGCCGGCCAUGUGAAGCCAUAAAUGAUGGAGAACAAUAGCCUCUAAAUUGUUCUGCAGGUAUAACAUAUAAGGAGGACAGAGAUCAUCACAUCAAUAAGAUUUCCAAACAAGACAACAUAAGGUAGAAUUUCGCAGUGAGUUCUGAUGGUUUUUUCUCCUCUUUUCUUGUUAGUCAGACCAACGGCUAUAAACAGCA